rnacentral:rRNA from 1 species
UACAGAGGUCUCAAGCGUUGUUCGGAUUCAUUGGGCGUAAAGGGUGCGUAGGUGGCGCGGUAAGUCGGGUGUGAAAUUUCGGAGCUUAACUCCGAAACUGCAUUUGAUACUGCGGUGCUUGAGGACUGGAGAGGAGACUGGAAUUUACGGUGUAGCAGUGAAAUGCGUAGAUAUCGUAAGGAAGACCAGUGGCGAAGGCGGGUCUCUGGACAGUUCCUGACACUGAGACACGAAGGCCAGGGGAGCAAACGGG